rnacentral:misc_RNA from 1 species
CGGUGCUGCAAUUGUCCAAUCUUAUUCAUUACUGUGAGGGCUGGACACGUACGAGUUCAAGAGCUUCCCCAGCGUGCAAUUUUGUGGACUGUCGGAGCUUUCUAUAAGAUUCAUAAGAAAAAGAGGUGUAGAGACGUGGGUGUUCACAGUCCACAAGUUCUGCCGGAGCUUCCACUGCUGCCUCUGCUCUUGGUCCCAACAUGAAUGAAGCAAUUGAAACUCGAAUUGUUGCUUCUUUGCAUUGUACUCGAUGCUUCACAUUGCAAAGCCUUCCAUUGCUCCACACCGUAGCAACAUCUCCAAGAUUGACUAGGAGGGUGCCUGGCUCCGGAUCCACAACCACAAAUGUUCCAGACUUGUCCACAACUUCAAGUCCGCUAACAUUUUCAUCAUCUUGAAGUAUAGUCAAGAAUCCAGAAUCUGUGUGAAUCUGAACUCCAGUGGAGCCUACAGUUUCAGGAGUG